UACGGGGGGAGCAAGCGUUGUUCGGAUUUACUGGGCGUAAAGGGCGCGCAGGCGGCGCAACAAGUCACUUGUGAAAUCUCCGGGCUUAACUCGGAACGGUCAAGUGAUACUGUUGUGCUAGAGUGCGGAAGGGGCAACUGGAAUUCUCGGUGUAGCGGUGAAAUGCGUAGAUAUCGAGAGGAACACCUGCGGCGAAGGCGGGUUGCUGGGCCGACACUGACGCUGAUGCGCGAAAGCCAGGGGAGCGAACGGG
rnacentral:rRNA from 1 species